UACGUAGGGGACAAGCGUUGUCCGGAUUUAUUGGGCGUAAAGAGCGUGUAGGCGGCCUGGAAGGUCAGCUGUGAAAACUCGAGGCUCAACCUCGAGACGUCGGUUGAAACCACCUGGCUAGAGUCCGGAAGAGGAGAGUGGAAUUCCCGGUGUAGCGGUGAAAUGCGCAGAUAUCGGGAAGAACACCCGUGGCGAAGGCGGCUCUCUGGGACGGUACUGACGCUGAGACGCGAAAGCGUGGGGAGCGAACAGG
rnacentral:rRNA from 1 species